rnacentral:tRNA from 1 species
UAUAUGCUGGCAGAUGGAUGUGUCUGAUUUAGGUUCGGAAGAGGGGUGAUUAAGCCCGCAUAUA